rnacentral:rRNA from 1 species
GGCUACAGAACGAACGCUGGCGGCAUGCCUAACACAUGCAAGUCGAACGAGACCUUCGGGUCUAGUGGCGCACGGGUGCGUAACACGUGGGAAUUUGCCUCGGGGUAUGGAAUAACUCAGGGAAACUUGAGCUAAUACCAUAUAAUGUCUUCGGACCAAAGAUUUAUCGCCCUGAGAUAAGCCCGCGUAGGAUUAGCUAGUUGGUGAGGUAAAGGCUCACCAAGGCGACGAUCCUUAGCUGGUCUGAGAGGAUGAUCAGCCACACUGGGACUGAGACACGGCCCAGACUCCUACGGGAGGCAGCAGUGGGGAAUAUUGGACAAUGGGCGAAAGCCUGAUCCAGCAAUGCCGCGUGAGUGAUGAAGGCCUUCGGGUUGUAAAGCUCUUUUACUCGGGACGAUAAUGACGGUACCGAGAGAAUAAGCCCCGGCUAACUCCGUG